CAACAUCCUACGUUGAAAAUGGACUAGACGAUACUGAUAAUAAUAAUGGUUUUAUGCAAAAUUGCAGUGCAACAGAUCACUCAACGGUUGCUGAGCAUGAAUUAACAUUUUUAGCGCUUGGAAUAGUUUCAACAUCCUAUGUUUAAUAUGGAUUAGAAGAUUGCAGUACAGCAGAUCUUUCAAGCCAUGAUGAAACAUGAAUUAUGGUUUUUAGCACUUGGGAAAAUUUGGACAUCCCAUGUUGAAAUUUGACUAGACAAUACUGAUAAUAAUAAUAAUAAUAAUGGUAUUUUGCAUGUAUAGCAGAUCUUUCAAGGCUCGCUGAAACCUGAAUUAACAUUUUUACCACAUUGAAAAGUUUCAACAUCCUACAUUUAUAUUGGACUAGAAGAUUCCGAUAAAUCUAAUAAUUUUAUGCAAUUCACUUUUAUUAUUUUAUGGUUAAAUUCA
rnacentral:lncRNA from 1 species